rnacentral:rRNA from 1 species
GACGAACGCUGGCGGCGUGCUUAACACAUGCAAGUCGAACGAAGUGGCGAACGGUUGAGUAAUACGUGGGUAACUGCCCUCCUUUUUGGGAUAAGCCUUGAAAACGGCUGCUAAUACCGGAUAGUGGGGGAUGACUCGCGUCCUAUCAGGUUGUUGGUGGGGUAGUGGCCUACCAAGGCGACGGCGGGUAGCCGGCCUGAGAGGGCGACCGGCCACAGUGGGCUGCGACACGUCCCAAACUACGACGGGUGGCAGCAUUGGGGAAUAUUGCACAAUGGGCGAAAGCCUGAUGCAGCGACGCGAGGGGGGGUUGAAGGCUUUCGGGUUGUAAACCUCUUUCGCUAUCGAAAGGGUAGGUGGAGAAGAAGCGCCGGCUAACUACGUGCCAGCAGCCGCGGUAAUUC